rnacentral:rRNA from 1 species
GAUGAACGCUGGCGGCGUGCCUAAUACAUGCAAGUCGAGCGAACGGACGAGAAGCUUGCUUCUCUGAUGUUAGCGGCGGACGGGUGAGUAACACGUGGAUAACCUACCUAUAAGACUGGGAUAACUUCGGGAAACCGGAGCUAAUACCGGAUAAUAUUUUGAACCGCAUGGUUCAAAAGUGAAAGACGGUCUUGCUGUCACUUAUAGAUGGAUCCGCGCUGCAUUAGCUAGUUGGUAAGGUAACGGCUUACCAAGGCAACGAUGCAUAGCCGACCUGAGAGGGUGAUCGGCCACACUGGAACUGAGACACGGUCCACACUCCUACGGGAGGCAGCAGUAGGGAAUCUUCCGCGAUGGACGAAAGCCUGACGGAGCAACGCCGCGGGAGUGAUGAAGGUCUUCGGAUCGUAAAACUCUGUUAGUAGGGAAGAACAAAUGUGUAAGUAACUGUGCACAUCUUGACGGUACCUAAUCAGAAAGCCACGGCUAACUACGUG